UACGUAGGGGGCAAGCGUUGUCCGGAAUCAUUGGGCGUAAAGCGCGCGUAGGCGGUUUGGUAAGUCGGGUGUGAAAACCAGAGGCUCAACCUCUGGCCUGCAUCCGAUACUGCCCGACUAGAGGUAGGUAGGGGAGAUCGGAAUUCCUGGUGUAGCGGUGAAAUGCGCAGAUAUCAGGAGGAACACCGGUGGCGAAGGCAGCUCGCUGGGACGUUACUGACGCUGAGACGCGAAAGCGUGGGGAGCAAACAGG
rnacentral:rRNA from 1 species